CUGCUGUUUGCUGGACUGGAGGAUCCACACUGGAGACUGGACACUCUCAGGAUGGAGCCUGGUGGAGUGCGAUGGAUGAAACCAGGUCUGAGGAAGUGAAGGUGACACAUGUGGAGGAGGAUCAGCCAUAUCCUGAUCAUCCAGACAGAUUUGAUCUGUGGGCUCAGCUGCUUUGUAGUAAUGAACUAAGUGAUCGUUGUUACUGGGAGGUUGAGUGGAGAGGAAGGAUUU